ACUUUCGCACCUCACAUGCAGAAGACUCUCUAUGCACACACAACUUCAGUAGUCUUUGCAAUCAACACCCUCUUUGUCGUGUCACUGUCCUCGUCUUCGACGCUCGUCGCUGUCCUCGUCAAGGACGCUUGUCGCCGUCCUUGCAGUGACCCUCCCCUGCAACUCUGUUCUUCUACUUGUUUUCUCACUGCAUUUGUUCUGCUCCCUUUUUUCCCUGCUCACGUCAAACCCUAACAUCGCAAAACGAUGGAAGAUCGACUUGGUGAUAGAUAGCCAUUUCCGACAAGUUUCUCGCUCUCGCUCAACCUUCAUGCGUCACCAGAUUCGUCGCCGAAUUGACUUCUCGCUGGCAAAGGUCGGUACGUGGCGCCGGAAACCCCUGACUUCCCAGCCAUCUCAAGGGAAGGCACGAAGCUACGAAGUCGCCUCGCCGAAGAGGUCACUGUUGUUGGCGUCAGCAAAUCAAAACUCCAGCAGCGGUCUCAACGAGAACUGCCCCGCGUCAGCCGCCGACCGUUCCUUCCCCGAAGACGGCAAUGUCAUCUGUUCGUUUCUCAGUGUCAAACCCUCACUGUCACCGGUGUCGGCGAUCUGAGCUUGUUCUCUAACUGAGAAGCUUAGUGACAUACGGUGUCAGCCUGAGUCACAGCCAAGUUUAUUACUUAGGCCUGGCUUCAAGUAAUUUAUUGUUUUUUUAGUGUUUUUGGGGUGAAAUAGAUGGCUUCCUUCCUAGUAAUUGUUUCAUGUUUUCAGAUAUAGUAAUUGUUUCAUGUUUUCAGAUAAUUGAGUGUAGAAGAGUACUGAAAUGGACAUACACAUAUGGGUUCUACUUACCCGAGCAUAAACAUGGGAAAAAAACAGUUCUUUGAGUACUUGCAAGGUGAAGCAGAAUCUGGUAUGGAGAGACUUCAUCAAUGUGUGGAAAAGGAACUUCUGCCAUUCCUAUGUCUGAUGAGCCCAUCUAAUCUAGAGAGUUCAAUGAUUUUCGCACUAAACUAGCUGGAUUGACGGAGGAAAAAAAGAUAUCAAAAUUGGAAGAGGUAGUUAAUGACAUCAAGGAGGAAGAGAGAGAAAAAAAAUCCUAAAAUACCAAAGAGUUCCAAUGUUGGUGUAGGUGAUCGUUGUCAGAGAAGAUUGGUGUUGAUCCACCACACGUAGGGUGAAGCAAGAGGAUGCUUAAUUUUAAAUGACGUGUGAAGGAGUGUGGUUUCUUCAAUGGAUGUGAUUCUUACUGUGUGGAGAUCACCUGGCUAAGAUGAUAAAAAUGGUGUGGUCCUCGAUCAGAAUUAUCACUGGAACCGAUGAUGGUGAUGGCUGACAAUGGUCACAAUGACAACGAUUGCGGUGGCAAGGGCAACAAAAAAAUGCCAAAAAAGCUCUAAAUGCAAUGUUAAAUAUAGAGAAA